CACGGAACCAAUCAAUAAAUAAGCAGAAGCAGGACAGAUGAGGGGGCCCCUCUCUCAUGAUUUUAAAGACUAAAAAGAAGCAGCACACAGCAGGGAUUGUGACAGAAGGAACUGCCUUGGGCGGGGAGGCUGAGGUGGGGUUUCCACAGCAUCCCCUCCAUCUCAGCUAGAAUCCUCCAGUUGCACUCCAUUCUCGAAUUCUGUGGCCUGCACUGCUGAGCUGUUUAUUAAAACGGCGUACAAUGAAAACAUUCCAUUCCUCCAGUCUAUGAACCCCUGUAAUUUCCUCCCUCCUCCUGGACAGAGGCCACUAGGACAGGAAAGCCUCAGGGGAAAAAAAUUAAAAAGAAAAGCGGUGAAAGCAAAGAAGACAAUAGACAAACCCUGGCUCUGACAAUGCUGUCCCUCAGCCCCCUUUCCCUGCCUGCUGUGACACUGGCCUUCAAGAGCAAGGGUGGCUGCCAUCUGAUGCAUGGACAAUGAGCUGAGAAAUACAAGGCAGAGAAGGGAAAGAAAACCAGAUGAAUUCCGAGCUAAGAUGCAGGGCUCUCACCUUGUCCAGCUGCUACGGGGAGCUAAAAGUUACUGUGUGGCUAAUGUUCUUUGUCUCGGUGUCUUCUAUGAAAGAGGCCAAGGAAAUUUAACAGAGAAGAAAAGCAAAAAGCAAAAAAAAAAAAAAAAAAAAAAAGAAGAAGAAGAAGAAGAAGAAGAGUGUUCAGUUGCAGAAAAGCAUCCUGGGAGGUUCAUUCUUCUCCACAGAGGGUAGCACUUCAAGAUUUACAGGCAGCCUAGAUUUUUGGCUAACAUUGGGUGUGUUGGCUUCAGGGGGAGGGUGUGCGUGUUGCGGUGCUUGGUUUGCUCAUGGAGAAUAACAGCUUAUGUUGGACAUGUCUGUAUUAGCUUUUACUGGAUGGAUUCUGAGCUUACUCACUGUUUGAAAUAAAAUAAAUAAUUUUUCAUUUCAUUUUA